UUUUAGCUAGCUUACGUCAUUUUGCGCACGGCCCUCUACUCCACGGUCAAGCGCAACGUCACUACGUCACUACGUCAUCCACUGGAAUACUCCGCUAACGAGCAGCGACGAAGAAGACGACUUUUAGAUGGAAACCUGCGCUGCUCCGCAGUGAAAGCUGGACCGCAGAGGCCAGACACACAGCAAGCCGACGGUAAAGAUCAAAGAUGGAAACCUGCACUGCUCCGCAGUGGAAGCUGGACCGGAGAGGCCAGACACACAGCCACCCGACGUUAAAGAUCAAAAGAGCAAGAGGCGUGUGGGAAUACUUCAAACAGAGACCCAACAAUGUGAUGCUCUGUAAGUUGUGCAAAAUGGAGAUGGCAUACCACGGCAGUACAAGUGCAAUGCACGAGCACCUUACAAGAAGGCAUCCCGGAGCGCUGAGUGAAGAAGACAGCAUCAAGACACUACCUUGAUGAGACAAAGCGGUGUGGAGGACUUUUUCCACAAAAAGAACAUUGCACUAUUCCUUUUACUUGAAUUUAACAAGCUCUUGCUUUAAUUUUAUUUUGGAGAAAUUUUAUGUUGGACUGAAAAAAGAUUACCAGUAAAGACUGGGCUAUUUUUUUGUUGUGAAAUAAUGCCCUGCUGUGCAUAUUUUAUUCUUGUUUUAUGUAUAUGUUUAUAAGAGAAGAUGUUUGAAUAAAGUAUUGAGAUAAUAUUGAAA